CUCAGGACGAACGCUGGCGGCGUGCCUAAUACAUGCAAGUCGAGCGGACAGAUGGGAGCUUGCUCCCUGAUGUUAGCGGCGGACGGGUGAGUAACACGUGGGUAACCUGCCUGUAAGACUGGGAUAACUCCGGGAAACCGGGGCUAAUACCGGAUGGUUGUUUGAACCGCAUGGUUCAAACAUAAAAGGUGGCUUCGGCUACCACUUACAGAUGGACCCGCGGCGCAUUAGCUAGUUGGUGAGGUAAUGGCUCACCAAGGCAACGAUGCGUAGCCGACCUGAGAGGGUGAUCGGCCACACUGGGACUGAGACACGGCCCAGACUCCUACGGGAGGCAGCAGUAGGGAAUCUUCCGCAAUGGACGAAAGUCUGACGGAGCAACGCCGCGUGAGUGAUGAAGGUUUUCGGAUCGUAAAGCUCUGUUGUUAGGGAAGAACAAGUACCGUUCGAAUAGGGCGGUACCUUGACGGUACCUAACCAGAAAGCCACGGCUAACUACGUGCCAGCAGCCGCGGUAAUACGUAGGUGGCAAGCGUUGUCCGGAAUUAUUGGGCGUAAAGGGCUCGCAGGCGGUUUCUUAAGUCUGAUGUGAAAGCCCCCGGCUCAACCGGGGAGGGUCAUUGGAAACUGGGGAACUUGAGUGCAGAAGAGGAGAGUGGAAUUCCACGUGUAGCGGUGAAAUGCGUAGAGAUGUGGAGGAACACCAGUGGCGAAGGCGACUCUCUGGUCUGUAACUGACGCUGAGGAGCGAAAGCGUGGGGAGCGAACAGGAUUAGAUACCCUGGUAGUCCACGCCGUAAACGAUGAGUGCUAAGUGUUAGGGGGUUUCCGCCCC
rnacentral:rRNA from 1 species